rnacentral:rRNA from 1 species
CCUACGGUGGGCAGCAGUGGGGAAUAUUGCACAAUGGGGGAAACCCUGAUGCAGCGACGCCGCGUGAGUGAAGAAGGAAUUCGUUAUGUAAAGCUCUAUCAGCAGGGAAGAAAAGGACGGUACCUGAGUCAGAAGCCCCGGCGAACUACGUGCCAGCAGCCGCGGUAAUACGUAGGGGGCAAGCGUUAUCCGGAUUUACUGGGUGUAAAGGGAGCGUAGACGGCGGUGCAAGUCUGGAGUGAAAGGCGGGGGCUCAACCCCCGGACUGCACUGGAAACUGUACGGCUGGAGUGCAGGAGAGGUAAGUGGAAUUCCUGGGGUAGCGGUGAAAUGCGUAGAUAUUAGGAGGAACACCAGUGGCGAAGGCGGCUUACUGGACUGUAACUGACGUUGAGGCUCGAAAGCGUGGGGAGCAAACAGGAUUAGAUACCCUAGUAGUC